rnacentral:siRNA from 1 species
CACAUUUGUUUUAACAGCCGUGU